AGUGGGGAAUCUUGCGCAAUGGGCGAAAGCCUGACGCAGCGACGCCGCGUGCGGGAAGAAGGCCUUCGGGUUGUAAACCGCUUUCAGGAGGGACGAAGCCACUCGGGUUAAUAGCCCAGAGGGUGACGGUACCUCCAGAAGAAGCCCCGGCUAACUACGUGCCAGCAGCCGCGGUAAUACGUAGGGGGCGAGCGUUGUCCGGAUUUAUUGGGCGUAAAGAGCGUGUAGGCGGCCAGGUAGGUCAGCUGUGAAAACUCGAGGCUCAACCUCGAGAUGUCGGCUGAAACCAUCUGGCUAGAGUCCGGAAGAGGAGAAUGGAAUUCCCGGUGUAGCGGUGAAAUGCGCAGAUAUCGGGAAGAACACCCGUGGCGAAGGCGGUUCUCUGGGACGGUACUGACGCUGAGACGCGAAAGCGUGGGGAGCGAA
rnacentral:rRNA from 1 species